UACGUAGGGGGCAAGCGUUGUUCGGAAUUACUGGGCGUAAAGGGCGCGUAGGCGGCACGGCAAGUCGGGGAGUGAAAGCCCCGGGGCUCAACCCCGGAACGUCUUUCGAAACUGCCGAGCUAGAGUGCGGAAGGGGCAACUGGAAUUCCCCAGUGUAGCGGUGAAAUGCGUAGAUAUUGGGAAGAACACCUGAGGCGAAGGCGGGUUGCUGGGCCGACACUGACGCUGAGGCGCGAAAGCCAGGGGAGCCGAACGGGAGUUAGAUACCCUAGUACG
rnacentral:rRNA from 1 species